GUCGUGAGACAGUUCGGUCCCUAUCUGCCGUGGGCGCUGGAGAACUGAGGGGGGCUGCUCCUAGUACGAGAGGACCGGAGUGGACGCAUCACUGGUGUUCGGGUUGUCAUGCCAAUGGCACUGCCCGGUAGCUAAAUGCGGAAGAGAUAAGUGCUGAAAGCAUCUAAGCACGAAACUUGCCCCGAGAUGAGUUCUCCCUGACUCUUUAAGGGUCCUGAAGGAACGUUGAAGACGACGACGUUGAUAGGCCGGGUGUGUAAGCGCAGCGAUGCGUUGAGCUAACCGGUACUAAUGAACCGUGAGGCUUAACCUUACAACGCCGAAG
rnacentral:rRNA from 1 species